rnacentral:ncRNA from 1 species
AGGCGGGGACGACCCCGCUUGGCAUGACGAAUGGGGACGGCCCCG